UCCGGAUCUGGACAUCCACUCCUCUUCRUCCCUCGUGACGCUGGCGGACGAUACCCGUCAGAUGCCCGASUCCCYUCUCCAAGGCUGACCGCUGAAUCCUUCCCUCUCUCUCAAGUUGACUACUGCCCGCUCUGAAGUUCGCCAAGCCCUGGCCGACCUGUCCGUUCCCCGAAGAUUUAACGAACUGGACCCCAGAAUCUCUGUUUCCCUCCCAGGCGUCACUAGACCACUACCACCUGUGCUGUUGCUGCCGCUGCCCGCCGCUCGAACCAGUCCUUUUUUCCACCUCACAAUAAACCUGUUAAACUUU